GAGAGAAAGGGACUAAAGUUAGCAUCAAGUGUAGCUGUUGGGGUUUAGGAUAUAAAGCAGCACAUAAAAUGAGUAGGAAGUAUCAACAAUGCCCUCACACAUGGGAUGUCACAAAUGAACUCUUUCAAUAAGCCUCGUCCAAUAGUCGUAUAUAAAAGGGGAGAGAACUCAUGGCAUUGUUUUUAGGCAAACUUUCUUUCCUCCACUCAUGUGGGUGCUGCUCUUAGUUCAUCUGUGAAGAGACUCAAACCUAGAAUACUGGAAUGCAAGGAUCUAAAAUACUAACUCUCACAAACAUCCAUGCCAACGUCUAAAGUCAAUGACUAGUAGGCGCUUGCACUCAAGAAACUCCUUCAAGGACAUUUUUCAGUUUCUCAUUAGCCGCAACAAGUUCUGCUGCUAUUCCUGGUUCAUUUGCCGAAUGACCUGCUCCUGGGACAACAAUAAACUCUGCCUCCGGCCAAGCUUUAUGAAGAUCCCACGCUGACAUCAUUGGACAGCAAACAUCAUAUCUUCCCUGAACAAUUAUUGUUUUGAUGUGCUUUAUCUUUUCAACAUUAUCUAGAAGGAAAGAAUCUGAAGAGAAGAAUCCCUUGUUGAUAAAGUAGUGGUUCUCAAUCCUUGCAAAUGCCAAGGAGAAAUCAUCAUCAUCUCCUUUCUUUAUGUUCUCUUCAUUAGGGAGAAGAUGAGAGGUCAUCAUUUCCCAUUUAGUCCAUGCUCUAGCUGCUGCAUACUGUGUUUCUAGGGUAUCUGAAUUUAAUCUCUUAUGGUACGCCUUGACAAAACAAUUCCUUUCUUCCUCCGGAAUCAGUUCUCUGAAUGGCUCCCAAACAUCGGGGUAUAUUGCAGCAGCUCCACCCUCAUAAAACCAGUCAAUUUCUUUCUUCCGCAACAAAAAUAUCCCUCUAAGAAUGAUCCCAGUAACCUUGUCAGGAUGUGAUAUGCUGUAUGCAAGAGCCAGAGUGCUUCCCCAUGAGCCACCAAAUACCUGCCAUUCCGGAAUCUUUAAGUGCUCUCUUAAUUUUUCAAUAUCCCCAACGAGAUCCCAUGUUGUGUUCUCCUCUAAGCAAGCAUGAGGCUUACUUUUACCCGCACCUCUCUGAUCAAAUAGAAUGAUUUGAUAGAAGACAGGAUCAAAGAACCUCCUGUUAUUGGGUGAAGUCCCACCUCCAGGGCCUCCAUGGAAAAACACUACUGGACGGCCAUUAGGAUUUCCUGACUGCUCCCAAUAUAUAGUAUGAAGGUCCGAAACUUUCAAAAAUCCAGUACUAUAUGGCUCUAUAGAGGGGUAUAGAUCCUUUCUAAAUUCAGGAAAUUCCUUCUUCAAAUCCAUUUGUUCCACGCUCUCACAAUCAAGAUUCCCCGCACGUACGGAUAACUUCUUCCUCCCUGAGAUGGGGAUGAGCAAAGGCGAGAAGAUGGAAGCAGGAAGCUUUGGGGAUAGUGAAAGGGAAUUCGAGGCCGGCAAAUGAGUAAAAUUGGAGCAAGGGAAUAACGAGGGAGCCCGUAUAGCAGUAGAUGCCAACUUCAUGGGUAAUCUCAUCAAUUUCAAAUGGGUUU
rnacentral:misc_RNA from 1 species